UCGCAUCUAUGAUUAUGAAAAUAUUACCUACAUUAUUUGAUUCAUAAAUGAUAGAAUCUACAGAAUGAGAUGUGC